rnacentral:rRNA from 1 species
ACGCUCGACACCUACGGGAGGUAGCAGUGGGGAAGUAGUUGCACAAUGGGGGAAACCCGUGGAUGCAGCGACGCCGCGUGAGCGAAGAAGUAUUCGGUAUGUAAAGCUCUAUCAGCAGGGAAGAAACUAGAACGGUACCUGACUAAGAAGCACCGGCUAAAUACGUGCCAGCAGCCGCGGUAAUCUGAGCGGGCGUGCGAAGGC